rnacentral:rRNA from 1 species
GAUGAACGCUGGCGGCGUGCCUAUUACAUGCAAGUCGAGCGAACGGACGAGAAGCUUGCUUCUCUGAUGUUAGCGGCGGACGGGUGAGUAACACGUGGAUAACCUACCUAUAAGACUGGGAUAACUUCGGGAAACCGGAGCUAAUACCGGAUAAUAUUUUGAACCGCAUGGUUCAAAAGUGAAAGACGGUCUUGCUGUCACUUAUAGAUGGAUCCGCGCUGCAUUAGCUAGUUGGUAAGGUAACGGCUUACCAAGGCAACGAUGCAUAGCCGACCUGAGAGGGUGAUCGGCCACACUGGAACUGAGACACGGUCCAGACUCCUACGGGAGGCAGCAGUAGGGAAUCUUCCGCAAUGGGCGAAAGCCUGACGGAGCAACGCCGCGUGAGUGAUGAAGGUCUUCGGAUCGUAAAACUCUGUUAUUAGGGAAGAACAUAUGUGUAAGUAACUGUGCACAUCUUGACGGUACCUAAUCAGAAAGCCACGGCUAACUACGU